UACGUAGGGGGCAAGCGUUGUCCGGAAUUAUUGGGCGUAAAGCGCGCGCAGGCGGUUUCUUAUGUCUGGUGUGAAAGCCCGCAGCUCAACUGCGGAGGGCCACUGGAAACUGGGAGACUUGAGUGUAGGAGAGGAGAGCGGAAUUCCACGUGUAGCGGUGAAAUGCGUAGAUAUGUGGAGGAACACCCGUGGCGAAAGCGGCUCUCUGGCCUAUAACUGACGCUGAGGCGCGAAAGCGUGGGGAGCGAACAGGAUUAGAAACCCCAGUAGUCC
rnacentral:rRNA from 1 species